rnacentral:lncRNA from 1 species
UCUACAAAUGGGGACCAUAACCGAUAAAAGUAACCUCGUAGUGGUUACUACUUUAGUUGCAAUAAUUCUGAUUCAGUCCCUUCAUCAAAUCAGAAAUUGCCCGAAGGUAUCUACACUUAUAUUAUUUCAUGACAUAUAUGCCCUUAGCCACCAGAUUAAAUUAAUGAAGAUCAUUUUAUAUUUUGGCUAAUUAAAUAAUGG